ACCAAACCAAUGCAGUAAGUCUCCACAAUACGAAUCCACACACUCCCGAUCAAAAAUAUCGACCAAUGAACAAACAUUCAAUUUUCAUAGUUUUCUCGACGCCACAAAACCGACAUUUUACAAAUUUUACAAAACUGAACCAAGACAACCGAACACCUACGUACGAUUUCCCUGAAGAUGAUUUAAUAAAAAUCGAAACGUCGGAUAAAGUACACAAAUAAGUGUUUGAGCUGCUUCCAACGACUGCAAGCCGAAAAUCCAUCU